CUUUGACAGCUGUUUAACCAGCCAGCACAGUUUUCAUCAAGUGCUCUUUGUCUGAAGAAGCCCACCGAGUUGACUGUCAAAGCCUGGAGAUGGAGAGGAAGAGGACUCAAUGUCCCAUUAGUACCGGGAGAGGAGACCCCGGGAGCUGACCUGCCUUGGUCAGGAGACAAGUCGGACUUCCAGAGCAGCACCAGGGAUGGGACCUGAAGAGACGUGAAAACCCUCCCUUCCACCCAUCGUCUGACCUGCUCCCCAGGACAGAAAAGGUGGGAGGCGACACCAGAUGGUUCCUGGGUUACUUUAUUUUGACAACGGCCACACAAACACAUUGGGGGAUGGGAAGAACAGUCAAGGCUUCUAGGCUCCGGGCAUCUCCCCCAAGCUCCCCUGCCUCCUCCACAGUCCAAGCAGUACCCAUUCCCCGCACCCCCCCAAUUCAGCUCCUCCUUUUUUGCCACAAGUCACAAGAGGCAGUGGAGUGCCCAGACUGUUCUUGUGGCUGCCAUGGCUUCACUCUUGACAUGCAAACUUCCUGCCCCAGAUCUGGACUCCACCUAGAGUCACAGGAGGCAACUUCCCCAAACAUGGAUGGCUCAUGGUGGACUGAAUAUGCUGCAGUGUGUUUUCUUCCCGGAUAACGUAUCACAGAAUAGAAUGUGUCACUGUUGAAAGGAAGCUUAGAAACA